CAGCGUUUUAAACAUAAUUGGUUAACAACAUAUAGUCCGCGUCGUUUGAAUUCGACUUCGGCACCGAGUGGAAAGAGUCUGUAAUGGAAUUUAAAAAGGGAAUAACGUCACCGGUCAACGUUAGGUUUAGUGUUAGUGUUAGUGUUAGCUUAGUUUGUUUAUCGAGUGAAGUGUUAGCUUAGUUUGUUUAUCGAGUGAAGUGUUAGCUUAGUUUGUUUGUGAGGUUAAGUGUUUGUUUGCUAAGUUUGACUGUCAGUUAGGUAGUUAAGUGUAAACUUAGUUUGUUUGUUAGUUAAUUGUCAGUUAGUUAGUUAAGUGUAAACUUAGUUGGUUUGUUAGUUAAGUGAUCGCUUUCUUUGUUUAAGUGUUAGCAUAGUUAAUUAGUUGAGUGUUAGCAUAGUUGGUUUGUUUAAGUGUUAUCUUUGUUUGUUAGCUAGUCAAGUUUUAGCUUACUUGGUUAAGUGUUAGCUCAGUUGGUUUGUUAGUUAAGUGUCUUUUAGUAAGUGGUUAGCUUAGUUAUGUGUCAGUUAGUUGGUUUGUUAGUUGUUUGUAAGUGUUAGCUUAGUUUGUUAGUUAAGUAGUUGCUCAGUUUGAUUAUCAGUUAUGUGUUAGCUAAGUGUUAACUUGGUUAAAUGUUGGAUUAGCAGAAUGUUUGCUUAGUUAAUCAUUUAGGUAAUAAUAAGUGUUCGUUUAGUUAGUUUUUCGUUUUCUCCACUCGAUAUUGCUAUGACCCCAAAUUGAACUUUUGCUCCCUACUCAGACCAUCUUUGCGUAACCUUUAAAGGUUGACGUAUAUAUAGUUGAAGGCCUAUGGGAGGAUGAUUAUCAUUCACUUAUCUAGAUAUAAGUGAGGAGUCCUGGACUCCUUCUCCUUUGGGAAUCUCCAGUCCUUUGAAAAGAAAAGAGAGGUUAAAAAUCUGCUAAAUGACUUAGCAGCAACCUGGAUCCUCCUCUUCCUCCUCAGAAUUUGGACAGCAUUCGGCUCAGGGCGCAGUGGACGUGGAGCACACCGUGUUUCUUUCACGUGAAGAUAACGCGUGGAUUGUUUGUUCAGGGUGAAAUGACCAACUUCGCGGACAUUUCGUGUCAACUUGUCCGAGGCUGGAGUGCCGGUCACAUCCACAGAUCGGAGCCGGCUGAGUCACAUUCAGGUGAGCUGUAUCUGCACAUAGCAGUAGGAGGCUUGGCAUUCCACAAGGAGGAAACAGAAAUUGCUGUCCCUGCUAGAGGAAGAUUUAUUUUCUCGAUAUCACAGCCAAAACUCAACUGGAAGAAUUGCGAGAAAAAACAGGCCCGUGUGUCGCAUGUGGUGGCAGCUGAACAGGUAAAAAAUGGUGGAUGAGCUCUCAUCUGGACCAGCACCGACGAAUUAAUGGUCAGAGGCUCAGUGGACUAAAGACAUUGAAGGGGAAUCAGAAAUAUGGACUGAGGGUUUGUUGGUUUUGAUCUUUUUUUGUCAUUUGUUGACAAUAUGAAAUAUAGAGAAUGAGGUGAAUACUGCCAUUUCACAGUGGUAGAGCUUGUUGUUCUUUAAUUGUUUUUUUUUUUUCAUUGAUAAUGAAUAAAAAUCAAGUUGCCAGCUUGUGUAAAAGGAAUGUGUGAGCAGAUAAACACAAGCGCCAUUGGUUUUGUGAAGAGCCUUUUGACAGGAUUUUUCAUGGCGGACUCUUGUUCAGCCCCUGCUUGUGACCACAAAUGGGCAUUCUCCAUCCUGAUGUUGCAUAACCUCCUUGCCAUUGUGAUGGAGCUGCUUCCAAGCCGUCUCUCUGGGGCUCGAUCUGUAAGGCGCUCCACAUGUCUGCUAUGAAGUUUAGAGCAGCAGCAUGUUUGGACUGCGAGGAUUUCUCUCCAUAACAAACCAUCUGGGAGUGCAAAGAAGCUUCUAAUAAGCAAAGAAUCUCAAAACUGCCCCUGUGCCGGGAGACAAUUUCUCAUCAGGCACCAGCAGCCGCAGCAGCAAGCUCAUUCACGGAGGAGUCCGAUAUCUACAGAAAGCCAUCACGAAAUUGGAUUACAAACAGGACAACACGACGAUGCUCGAAUGAACCUCGCCAUCGCCCUCACUGCUGCCAGGUAUGGGGCUGCCAUAGCCAAUUACACUGAAGUGGUGCACCUACUGAAGAGGGCAGACCCUCAGACGGGGAAGGAGAGGGUCUGCGGAGCACACUGCGGGGAUGUGAUCACAGUUUCCAAAGGAUCCCUCAGUCACUGCCACCAAGCUACUCUGUGACACAAAGAAGCAAGAGGGAAAUUAGGGCAGGAAUUUGAUGUCAGAGCCAAAUGUGUUAUCAAUGCCACGGGACCUUUUACGGACGCGCUGCGGAAAAUGGAUGAUCAGAAGAACCCCGACAUCUGUCAGCCCAGUGCUGGGGUGCCCAUCGUCAUCCCAAGCUAUUACAGACACACACACACACCUCUAGUCCUGGAGCUCCUGGAGCCCGUCGCGUCAUCUUCUUAACCUGGGAGAGGAUGCUCCAACACACCCACACACAGCAAGAGCCGUCCCGUGGAGGAGGAGGACAUUGACUUCCUACUGACUAAAGUCUGCAACUGCCCAGCUGCUGAGCCAAGACACACAAGGUGGCUCAACAUCUGGCCCAGACCUACAGAGGUAUUUCCUCCAAGGUGGUCGAGAGGGCUCCUACAACCCAGGAAGAGUUGUUUGGAGCAUCCUGUGUUGGACAGCAACUUGAAGCCCUGUGCCAUGAGACAAGCUCAGACGGACGGAUUUCGACACUAAUCCGUUUGAUGUGGAUAUGAGAUCUCAUCGAGCUGCUCAGAGGCACUCGAGGCCGCCCGAGCCGUCAAGUGCAAUGAGAAACAAGACAGAGGUAUAUGGACCCUCCUGUCUGUGAUUAAUGAGCUCUGUGUCUGUGAGGAGUAUAGGCGUCGAGACGUGUGGGAUCAAACAGAUAUCAGUCGUCGCACAGUAUACAGCAGGGAUGCACUCGGUGAAUUCAGCCCCAUAAAAGAGGACACGGGAAUAAAAGAGAGACUAAGGAGAAGACAAGGCCUCAGCUGUGCUCUCCACUGAUCUACACACUGAUUACCUGGAGCAGAAACCCGAAUGUAAAGGCCUUGGGCUGGCUUUGAUAUUUCCAUCGUUCGUUUGUCUGCUAUGACCUGGACUACAUCUAACAGACCUAGACUGGAGAAGGUAGCGGCCUGGCCUGGAACUGUAUGACACAGAGCAAGGGCUCUCAUGUCUUCAGGGCGUUCCACAGAGCAUGAUCAUGAAACGCAGAAACAUGAAGAAAACCGCAAAAGGUUGAGCCGUGGAAACGUCUUUCUUCUGCACAUUCUUCCAGGAACUCAUGUGCACAACAUGAGCAGAACUAAAGCGCCAUCUUGUGGACUAAAGCGAGUGCAGCCGAGGGCAGACUGAUGGCUUUGCAGGUUUUUUCAUUUACAGGUAAUUUGGACACAGGUCAUUGACUUUCACUGCUCCUCCACCUCUGUGGUGCGAGUGUUUGUCCUGUCAGUUUAGAGGAAAUCCAAUCAGAUGUACCAAACAACGGCCUUACUGAGUGCGAAUGCAGAAGCGGAUGAAUAAAUUAAUAAAUCGACCAGUGGAUGGAGCAUAUAAGCGAACACAUGCAUUGCAGGGCUCGGGGGCUGUCCUGAGGCCAAUCAUUUAGCUAACACACUAAUGAAAGCGUGUGUAGUGUGGCUAAGGGCAGCCACCGAGGGAGGUACCACUCCCCCACCCUCCUCGUGUUGGGGGCUGUUAAUAAGCUGGAUGGAGCCAAUGGGACUCCCAGGAGA